GUGCUUGUAGUUCAACGGUUAGAAUGUCAGAUUGUGGUUCUGAAGACGUGGUUUCGACUACCACCUUGCACCC
rnacentral:tRNA from 1 species